UGGAUCAUCAGGUGGAAGUUAUAACAAAGCAUGCAAAUCAAUUUCGAUGCAUCAUUUAUAAUAAAGGAUAUAAGCCUGGAUGUAAUACUUUCUCUAAGUUUCGGUACUUUACCUUGUUUACUAUAUCAACAGUUUAUAACAAAACAUGCAAGUCUAUUUCUAUGCAUCAUUUAUAAUAAAGGAUAUAAGCCUGGAUGUAAUACUUUCUCUAAGUUUCGGUACUUUAACUUUGUUUACUAUAUCAACAGUUUAGAUUUUCUUAUUCUCGUUUUGAAGUUUUCAAUUUUAAGCUUGCUUUUGAGCAUAAUGCUCAAUUUUGGGGAUUCACUAGGGAACUUUUUAUGCUAGUAUUGCCAUUGAUGUGAAAUUCCUAGUCUGAUAGAAUAUUUCACUCAGGCCUAUGUUUUCAAAUCCAUGUAACAUCUGGAAUACAAGCAGAUGGUUAUGCUAUCUUAAAUAUGAGAGUCUAGGGAAUGUAAAAAUGACAAGAUCAAUUUGAUGUUAUUCUUAUGAUGCAUUUAAUAUUUUAGAACAUUUGAGGUCAUAGACAUGCCAGUAGGGCUGCCGAAGGUCUAUGCCUUAGUUGACUGUUGAGGAAGGGACUCACAAAUACAAUUGUCUAUAAACCUAGGAAUAAGAAUUAAGAUGGGAGGUGAAUAGAAAGGGAUAACUAUUAAAUGUAUUUAAAUAUCUACUCUGAUAUAGCGAUUCAAGAAGGAAUUGAAAUAUGUUUAACUGACUGUCAGUUGAUGGGCGAACAAUAAAGCUGCUGAUUAAGAUUUAAUCUCUCUUUGCCAGCUAUGAUCAUCCAUCAAGCAGAAAAGCAUGCUGCAGUUAAAAGGCAUGUAUGAUUGAUGAUGUCUGAUUUAUAAGGUGGAAAUCUCCAAUUGUUGAUCAUGCCUUUUAAAAAUGGAUUUGAAAUAUUUGUGAACUAGUAUCAAAUAAAGACAACGGAUAAUAUUGUUAUGAAAUAAGCGAUGACAGGGUAGAAAUUCUUUUUUAUCUGUUUCAGUUUUCUUUCAGACCUGUAAUUGGGUUAGCUACGUCUUAGACAUCCUUUGCCUGAUAUUCGUUGAGUCAUGUAUGCUGUUAUUGGAGUACUUAAUUUGGAAAUUUGUAAACACAGUGGAUUUAUGAUGACAGAUACAGCUGUAAUACUUGAGAAUGCAAAGAUUAACAUGUCUGAAGGAUCAAUGAGGCUUGCUAUCAACAAAUGAGGCUGUAUAUAAUCACAGAUCCAGCCGAUUUCAUGGUGAAAGAGGACAAUAAUGUCUUUGAUCGAAUAUGUGUUGAUGACCAUCGUUGAAGGGUGUCUGAAAACUGGCUGUUCUUAGGCGUGGCUUCCUGAAAUGAUUUUGCUUGUCCUUCACUGAAGUUGGAGUAAUGGAUGAGUCCCACCUUGGAUGCUGUGAUCAGAUGCACAUGUUGGAGGAGGUCACCUUUUAGAAGGUGGACUUCCACCUUUUAGAAGAUGGAACUGCACCUUUUAGAAGGUGGAGUAUCUGGGUUUGGAUUUAAAUGCUGUUCUCAGAGAUGGGCCACUUUGAGAAGCUGGAGAUCAGGGUUCAGUGACAUAAGGGAAUGGUUACCCUAUAAUGGAAAUGGAAAGGAAGAAGUGAAAAAAGAUAAGAAUGAUGACCUAGUGCUCAAGACUCAUGCCAAUAUGUCAUCUGCAAAGAAUUAAUGUACGUAGGUCUAUCCUUGCAAGAGAAGAGACAUUGUGUGAUUCCGCCACCGGUCACAUGGGUUAUGAAGGAUCAAGCUUACCAUGGUCUCACAGUGAUUGUGUGAUCAGGUUCAAGUCAUUGAAACAACUUUCUACUUGCAGGGGUAAGGCUGCAUGCAAUGAUCCUCCUCAAAUCCCAUAUUGUGCAUUGAACCGCCUUCAGAAUAAGAUUUUCUUACUUCGGAAACUGAGCAUCAAAAGAACCAUGUUUGAACUAGUAGCACCCCUGAGAAAUGUAGGAUUGUAAGCCAUAUGAGCAUCCACUACAAGUUUGCUCUUCAGGUAAUAAAAAUAUGAUUUCUUUUGUCA